rnacentral:rRNA from 1 species
UACGUAGGGAGCAAGCGUUGUCCGGAAUUACUGGGUGUAAAGGGAGUGCAGGCGGGAUGGUAAGUUAGGUGUGAAAACUAUGGGCUCAACCCAUAGACUGCACUUAAAACUGCUGUUCUUGAGUGAAGUAGAGGUUGGCGGAAUUCCUAGUGUAGCGGUGAAAUGCGUAGAUAUUAGGAGGAACAUCAGUGGCGAAGGCGGCCAACUGGGCUUUUACUGACGCUGAGGCUCGAAAGCGUGGGGAGCAAACAGG